GCCACUAUGGAACAGUGGUUAGAUCACCUACCCAAACCUACAUUAUGUCAGCGGUGGAAAGUCAGGGUUCGAUCCCCUGUGGUGGUU